UGAGGAAUAUUGCGCAAUGGGCGAAAGCCUGACGCAGCGACGCCGCGUGGAGGAUGACGGUCUUCGGAUUGUAAACUCCUGUUAAGUGGAAAGAAAGGCGCACUUCUAAUAAAAGUGUGAGAUGACGGUACCACUAGAGAAAGCACCGGCUAACUUCGUGCCAGCAGCCGCGGUAAUACGAAGGGUGCUAGCGUUAUUCGGAAUUACUGGGCGUAAAGGGUGUGUAGGCGGUUUAUCAAGUCUGCUGUUAAAUUUCCCGGCUCAACUGGGAAUCCGCAGCGGAAACUGGUUUACUAGAGUAUGGAAGAGAGAGGUGGAAUUCUCGGAGUAGCGGUAAAAUGCGUAGAUCUCGAGAGGAACACCGAUGGCGAAGGCAGCCUCUUGGUCCAUUACUGACGCUGAGACACGAAAGCGUGGGUAGCAAACAG
rnacentral:rRNA from 1 species